CGUUUGUGUUUUUCCUGGUCUCGGUAGCAGACCAAACCGAAUCAAUGGAUUCGAUUGAUUCUUGGGCUCCAGGACAUGGGAUCCACCCUAUAAAAGAUCUCCACCUCCUCCUCGUUUGAUUUUCGCCAAAAUCUCAUGUUCCCGUGCCCUAGGGCGUCGUCUCGAUCUUGCCGGAGACCACCACCGCCUGAAGCUUCUGCUGGGAUUCAUCGAACCGAGCGUUGUAACCUCAACUAGGAGUAGAUCGCCCGCCGCCGAGCUCUUUCUAGGCGGUGCCAUCGCUAGGAGACCCAACUGAAGACCCCACGUCACCCACGUCAUAUUCGGGACCUCCGAGCUCCUCCAGAUAUCCAAGUAUCCUCCCUGAGCCCCAGAGACCCCCAGAUUAAGCGGACCAUCGAUUCCCGAGCCGCCUGCGCCUUUCUUCCCCAAGUCCGGUGACCACCAUCUUUUGUAUUCCGAUUGUCCGGAGUGUGAAGUGGAUCAAAAUUAAUCAUUAGAGUACUUCAACAUCGUUCAAGGCAAGUUUGCACUUUUGAUUUCUCUCAUCCUAUAUUCUGCAUUGCAUGUGUGGUUUUUAUGUUAUGAUAUGUUCUUGGUUUGAUCUGUAUGUUCUCUAUUGUCAUAUUUUGGGUAUUGAUUGUGUUAUGUGAUGGCGUGAUUAGCUUAUCAUGGUAGACACGAGUUUGUGUCGAGUGUUUCAUGAAAGUGGUGAGUGUUUAUAGCCGUAGGCUCGGGACCUUUUAACAAGUGAAUUCGUCACUGGCAGAGCGCUCUAUUGUCCCUAGAGAAUACACCACUGACAGAGCGCACUUGAGGCGAGGUAUAGUUUUUGGAACAUAAAUCAGGUGAAUGCGUCCUUGGCAGAGCGCUCUAUUGUUCACAGAGAAUGCACCACUGACAGAGCGCACUUGAGAGACUUCUGAAGUUCUUGUCAUGUUUACUAUGAAUCUUUGGGGUUAUCAUGUGCGAAUAGAUUAGAGGCGGUUCUAAGUUCAGUUAGUGGAGGUAGGUGAAGACAUUCUUCUGCAAACCAACUUGAGUGUUUUGUUGUUAUAAUUUACUUGUGGAUGUAGGUUUGCUAUAUCAUAUUGUGUGAUUUGCCAAUACAUUCAAUGUAUUGACCCCUGUGGCUGCAACUUAAUUAUCAUGUUGCAGGAUUUUCAAAUGAUCAGUGAGAUAUAGUAGGGUCCCGAGUCUUCACUCAGCAUUUUCGCCAGUGGGUAGUGAUGGGACUUAUUGUUUUCUUAUGCUACAUUUCUGCUGUUAUUAUUUAAUAAAGCUAGCUAUGUGCUACUCAGUUUGUAAUACUUUAUAAAUUCUGGAUCAUACAUUGUAGUAAAUGAUGCACUUGUUACUUUGAUAUUCCUAUGCACCGUGUGUGCUAGCGAAUCAAUCCAGGGACUAGCACAGUAAGCACAGAGACAUCGAAUCUUAUCAGGUUCGGGUAGUUAUAGAUGGUAUCAGAGCAGUGUGUUGACUAUAGGUCGUGACCAUAGAAAAUGGACUAGAAAAGCCAUAGGAGUGAAAAACUUAUUUUACAAGUUUUGUCUACCUAGUAGUCUUCACUCUUGUAUUCAUAUCUUUUGCUAAUUACCUUCUCCUUUGAAUAGUAGAUGCCCCUUGUAGUUGUAUUAGUAUCAUUUGAGGACUUUUGUUGGCAGUCCACCAUUAUUAAGUUGAGUUCGAUAAAUAAUUCACGUGUAGUAUGACGAGAUCAUAUCUCUCAAGGAUAUGAUCUUACCUGUAGGUUUUGCUUGUGUUGUGUGAAUUGUUUGAUUUGUUUGAUUUGGGAGUUUUGUUGCUAGCAUGAGCAUACGGGUAGUGUUUCCCUUAGACCUAUUUAUGUCUAUAUCCUAAUGUAUGCAUCGACCCAGUGAUGAGUUCAAGUUUGACCACAUGCGCCAGGCUCUGACAAGAAGCAAACACAAUCUUGCUGAAGGAAGAACCCUAGAGGAAUCUAUAAUUUAUUAUUAGAUGUUUUAUAGUAGUCGAUACAAACCCGAGAGUUGAAAGGAACGAUAUAUGUUUUGUUUGGCAUGAAGAACCAAUGGAUUAUCCGAACCCAGUUUGUGAACAAGAGAAUUUUUGUUAUGCUUGUGAGGAUGCCCAAGUGUCAGAAUGCAAGAUUUUCUAAACCAUAUACAAGGUAAUGAUUUGGGAGCGGAAUGGAUUGAUUGCCAUGCCGACUUACUCUUAUUAUUCGCUUUUGCGAUAUGGGAUGGUAAUCUAGAGUGACUUACCUAUAGUAGAGUGAUGAUGAAGUUAAGCCUUCAACCUUAGAAUGGUACAUCAUUUGACCCUUGUAACAGGCAACUGUUGCCAACAGUAGGACUUACGGUGAGGAUGAACCAAGAACCGUUUUCUGCAGGAAUCCCGUAGAAGUAUUCUUGUUGACCACCAUGAGAGAAUCGAUUUUGUUUAGAAAUGGUACAUGACCCGUCAAUCAUGGAGGCUCAGUAUUUGGAAGACCAUUCUUUCGAUAACGAAUUCUUAAGAUCUCGAAGGAGUGUAGUGCGUGUACCUGAAGAAUUUCAUCGAAGGAGUAAAAUUCUUGAAGACCCAUUGACUCUUAUUCUAAGGGUGGUAGUACUCCACACACUUCGAUGAACAAUGGAUAUUUAAGGAGACCCCAACCCUAGUCUUUUCUUUCUAGCCUCUUCGAAUCUCGAGGAUGAGAUUCAUUUUAAGGGUGGUAGAUUUGUAACAUCCCAUGUUUUAAAAUUUGGAUUGUUAAUAGGAUCAUUAUUUUUUAUCAUGAUUUCUAUGCAUAUUUGGAUUUUCUGAAUAUUCAAUUUGUUAUUGCAACUUAAGGCAAAAUAUUUGGAGUAGAGAUAAUAUGACUUCUCCCCUGUUAAUUAUGUUCAGAAAAUGUUAAUGAUAUUAUCUGGAGUUUACAUAAAUUAUUUUGGGAAUUUUAGAAAUUGAAAAUUAUUUUAUGUUAUUAUUAUAAUGCUCUUUGUAGGCUCCUAUUGCAUAUGUAGGCUCAUAUUGCAUAAAACCGUUUUCCGAAAUUUCUUUAGAGUUGGAAAAAUGUUCAAUGUUUUAUUUAGUAUUAUUAAUAUUUUACGGUCUGUUCAUGGGGUUUGCUUGUGUAUUUUAUCAAGCCAACAUAUUCCAUGUAUAGUAUGUUUAUAAGCCAGCCUUUACUGUUCAUCUAUAUUGAACAGUACGCAGCCAGGCAACCCAGCAGCGCUGCCUAAAGCUAUCGCUCGCGUGCGCUAGGCAGCAACAGUAGCUAGUGGUACGUCACCAACGUAUCUAUAAUUUUUGAUUGUUCCAUGCUAUUAUAUUAUCCAUCUUGGAUGUUUUAUAUGCAUUUAUAUGCUAUUUUAUAUGAUUUUUGGGACUAACCUAUUAACCUA